CGUAUGUCAGGGAUGCGGUAACUGCGAUGCCGGACUCUUCCUUUCCGCUCUUCUUGCUCCGUCACGCCAAGAUUCUUUACAGACAGGGUCCCCGCUGAAGGACCCAUCCCGGGCCCUUUUCUUCAAGGCCCUGCUAGCAGAUCUGAAAAGUACAAGGGCGGAUUCCACAUAUUUUCUUGUCCAGAGAUCCUGCCGGAAUUAGAAACCCGGCGUCCAAGAUGGCGGCCAGGAAGUCUUCCGGGAUGUCGGAAUUCUUUUUUUCUGCCGACCCCAGGAAUUCCGAAGCUACCCGAGUCGGAAAAUUCCAAAGGUGCUGUCGGAGCAACGAAACGUCUGAUGGACAUCAUCGGCAUUUUGUUCCAGCCAUCCUCGAAGGAGAGACAAGAAAGUUUUCAGAGAUGCACAGGUUUUUCCAAGGUGUUGGGAUAUUUUGGCCUCGAAAUUGAAAUUUCGACUUUCAACCGAAUAUUCUAGCUUAAACUUUAAUCCGACCAGCUAGGAAAAAGGCCUAAAGAUAGUAAAGAAGAUAUUCAGCAAUGAAAACUUGUUUCUUCUUGGCGAAAUCGAUUAGAAAUAUGGGAGCUUUAAUCUUUAUUUACUUCUCCUUUAGCAAAGUCAUAUCGAUGAGCGUCAUGCGAUUAAAAAGACAGGGAAAUGGCUGAGAAGGAAGUCUCCUCGCAU